UACGGGGGGGGCAAGCGUUGUUCGGAAUUACUGGGCGUAAAGGGCGCGUAGGCGGUUUGCUAAGUCGAAUGUGAAAACUCUGGGCUUAACCCAGAGCCUGCAUUCGAUACUGGCGAGCUAGAGUUCUGGAGGGGAUAGCGGAAUUCCUGGUGUAGCGGUGAAAUGCGUAGAUAUCGGGAGGAACACCGGUGGCGAAGGCGGUUCUCUGGGCCUUACCUGACGCUGAGGAGCGAAAGCGUGGGGAGCAAACAGG
rnacentral:rRNA from 1 species